ACAAAAGCGAUGAUUAGGCGAGUAAAUUUAGUUCGGUUACUAGAGAUGGAAAUUCGUGGGCUGAAAGAUUUCCUUAACUUGAGAAAUUGAAAACUACCUAGGAGCUUCUAUCUGAAGUUAUCUUUAUAGAUUUUAGUAAGAUUUGACGUUUUGCUUACGUUACAAGUUCAAGUGGAUUUAUUUUAAAUCAAUUUGGGUGGAACCGCGGGAAUUAUGCUCUCGUCCCUAUU
rnacentral:ncRNA from 1 species